CAGAGAAUAGUUUAAUCGAGAAUCUUAGCUUUGGGAGUUAAGGGUGGGAGUUAAAAUCUCUUUUCUUUGA
rnacentral:tRNA from 1 species